rnacentral:rRNA from 3 species
AGACCCGAAACCCGGUGAUCUAGCCAUGGGCAGGUUGAAGGUUGGGUAACACUAACUGGAGGACCGAACCGACUAAUGUUGAAAAAUUAGCGGAUGACCUGUGGCUGGGGGUGAAAGGCCAAUCAAACCGGGAGAUAGCUGGUUCUCCCCGAAAGCUAUUUAGGUAGCGCCUCGUGAAUUCAUCUCCGGGGGUAGAGCACUGUUUCGGCUAGGGGGCCAUCCCGGCUUACCAACCCGAUGCAAACUGCGAAUACCGGAGAAUGUUAUCACGGGAGACACACGGCGGGUGCUAACGUCCGUCGUGAAGAGGGAAACAACCCAGACCGCCAGCUAAGGUCCCAAAGUCAUGGUUAAGUGGGAAACGAUGUGGGAAGGCCCAGACAGCCAGGAUGUUGGCUUAGAAGCAGCCAUCAUUUAAAGAAAGCGUAAUAGCUCACUGGUCGAGUCGGCCUGCGCGGAAGAUGUAACGGGGCUAAACCAUGCACCGAAGCUGCGGCAGCGACACUGUGUGUUGUUGGGUAGGGGAGCGUUCUGUAAGCCUGUGAAGGUGUGUCGUGAGGCAUGCUGGAGGUAUCAGAAGUGCGAAUGCUGACA